UAUAUAAACCACGGGAUAGAAGAUGACGUUUCCCCCUGAAAAUGCCCGAGGCACUGGGUAAGGGUUUAAGAUCUUGCUAGGGUUUUAACGGCAGCCAUUGGUAUGGCGUUUUGCUGCCGAGUGAUAAGGCCGGAACCCUAGGAGUGCCGUUUCGCCGUCUCCUACUCGAGAAUGCAGGACAUCGACGACGAUGAUUUCGGCGACCUAUACGCCGACGUCGAAUUCCAGGCGAGUACAACCAUCAACGGUCAGUCGAGCGAUGAUUUCGCCACAAAAUGUAUCGAUUCGGGUUCUGAGGGUUCCGAGGAGUUAGUUCGGGACGAUCGAGCGAAGAGAGAGUGUGAGUGUGAGAGGGGAGUGGAUAGUGAUGGGAGUGAUAGCGAGGAUGACUUGAAUAUAGUUCUGAAUGAUGAUGAGGGCAAUGAUGGUGGUGGCGGUGGGCUGGGGGGUUCGGUGUCGCAAGGGGUGGGGUUAGGGUUAGGGUUUGAUGAGGAUGAGGAGGAAGAGGGUGGUGGGUUCGAGGGUGUUGAGGAGGGUGAUGAUGGGUUGGUUAAGAAUCGGAGUUUGGGUGGAUUGGAGGUGAGUCCAAAUGGGCGUCGCAGUGGAGGGGAGAGAGGGAAUGAACCCACCAAGGGUGGUUAUAAAUCGCAGUUUUUGCAAUACAAGUACAUGAGACACCGGGGAGCUUCAUUUCCAACAAAUGCAAAAGGCAAUGGGUAUACAGGGUUGGGUUCGUAUUCAUCCACAUCAGCUAGAGGAGAUUGGGAUAAUAAUAAAUGCAGCUUGCGAAUGGACUCGAGCUCAUUAACAGCUCAAAUUGGGCAUAAUUUCUCACUUCCCCGUUAUAGGACCAUAUUAGAUGUAAAUAUUGGUGGACUUGAUAGGAAGUCUUGGAGGCAUCCCGGAGCAGACAUAACAGAUUUUUUUAACUUUGGAUUCGAUGAAGAAAGUUGGAAGCUUUAUUGCAACAGUGUGGAGCAACUUCGACAACGUACAUCCUUGUUGACCAGGGCCACCACCUAUGGAUAUCCAAAAGCCAAGGAGGUAUAUGAAGCUGAAGCUCAGUAUGAAACAGAAGGUCAUAUGGAUGAGCCUGAAAAAGUUGCUCAUCUAGAGGGAGCAGUUUCUCCAGUAUCAAGAUGCACAUAUAGAGAAGGAAAGCAAUUUGAAAUGCCAAAAGGCAGAGUGAUUCAGGUUGAGGACAGCAUUCUUGAAAGGCAAGCCUCCAUGGAUGUAAGGCGUUUUGUUGAUCGUGAUCCCGAUGUUGUGAUACAGAUUGCUGUGCAGGACUGUGUUGACAAUUCCUCUGGUUCAGGCAAGGGGGAAUCAACCCAGAAAGGCUCAGUUCGUGAAUCUUCUGAAAAUGGAGAUUUUGGUCUGGAUGAUGAUCUCUGCCAUUUUGGUGGUGGCAGUGGAGAUGAAAUGUCCAGUAAAUUAUUGGAAGGGGAUGUUAAAAGAUCAGGCAGACCUUAUCCCAAAAGGUACCCCCAACUAUCAACUCCAUCUAACUCAAUGUUAGUUGAUUUCGAUAAUCAUGCAAGUGGUCAGAUAUCUGAUGCGGAUGGGUGUCGCGAUCAAAAGGUUACUGGUUCUAGUUCUGAAGGGCAAGCUGAAGCAAUGGAAACUUCAAAUAAUACAAACGAAAAAGUUUGCAGUGAAACAUAUGAUGCUGCUCUGUCCUUUGGGGAGACAGACUCCUUGCUUGGUGACCAGACUCAACAGGAAUUGAGUUCAUCUAUCUCUGGAAGUCACGUUGAAGCAUCGGGGAAUUUUGCUUCUGUUGACCCAGAAAGAGUUCAAAAUCAUCUGAGGAAGGAAUCUCCGAAUUCUGUUGAGGAGUUGCACGAGUCUCUGACUUCUGAUUACCAUCAGUCAAUUAAAUCUAAGAGCCAUCAAGACAAAACAAAAACUGGCGAUGGUAAAUAUUAUUCAAGAAACAGAAGUCCUUUUCCAAAGGAUCGGAGGCAUUAUAGUAGUAGACUCCACUUUGACUCAGAAUUGAAGCGCCACCAUGAUUAUGAGGAGUCGUGCCCCUUUCCCUAUACCGAUGAUGAUUAUUAUGGAAGGCUGCAGGCUGUUUACUCUUGUGAUGGAGAAGGUUUUCCGUGUUAUACUGAAUCAGAACUUCCUUGCAAUUACUUUGGUGAAUGGUUUUCUUACAAUGAGGCCCAUGCUGCUUAUUCCAAAAGGUCUUGUAGGAAUCAUCAUAGCUUUGGAGAUGAGAAAGAUCAAUAUCCAAGUAGAAGGUGGGACGAAAGAGAACAUUUUCUUGAACAAAGAGGGUCCAGGUUGGAUGAUGAGGUAGUUGGAAGGGAUUGGUACAACAAUGAAAGCAGAAUUACAUUGAAUCCUCCCUUUCGCAAGGAGCCGAGACGGUUGGGCUCAAAUUAUUCCUCCUACUUGGACAAAGGAAGUACUCGAUGGAGUGGAAAAGGUGAUGAAUUCCACUUCAGGAAGAGAGGAGAACAAGAGGGUUAUUUGCUUGAUAGUAAUUAUGAAGAUUAUUUCUUGCAAGAAAAAUAUGGAUAUUGUGGCAAAGAGAGAAAGUAUUUGCAUGGUAAGUAUGAAAGGCAGUGGCCUUCUAACAGGAGAGGAGGGAAAAUCCCUCGUAGACAUUUUAGUAGACAGAGUCGUACCACCAACAGAGGAAGGGGGUUUGAGACCAUUUCCCGAAGAGGUGCUUAUGACGUGAGAUUAACUGAAAGACAUGGUGAACACAGUAGGAGACAGAUAGUUAAGGAGAGAAACAGAGGCAUUGAUUAUUUUGGUAGUAAUCAUGGUGCUGGUGAAUCUGAAGGAAGGGUCUAUUGUCCUGAUGGUGAAGAUCAUCAUGGAAGAAGAAGAAAUUGGCAGUAUGACUCGUUCCGUUGCACUAAGGAUGAAUAUAUUUAUAGUUACAAGGAUGACGAAUUCCUUGCUGAGGAGGCAUCAUUUUCUUUUCGGAGGACUUUAAGGAAUGCAAGUAUUGGUGGUAAACAGAAACUAAUGGAUAAUGUGGAAGUAGAUCAGCAUAGAAUCAAAUUAAUGAGAGGAGGAAGUAGUAACAAUCGUAUGGAAAGAAGUUCUAAUAUUACUGAUAGAGGUAAUCAUGAAAAGCCACUGCUGAGAUGCAGGGAUUCGGUUGACUUGCAAUUGGUUGGCGGGGAAGGAAAGGUAAAGUUUGGGGACACUGAGGUCAAAACCUUGUACCUUGCUUGUAUUUAUGAGUGCUCCACAUAUGUUGGGCAAGUCUUCUUUCAUUUUGCUAAUGCGAUUUCAUUGCCUGUUUCACUGAGAGAUUCGUUAUGCCUGCUAUUACCUGUUGCAUCUUUCAUCGUGCAUGCUGUUUUCAGAUACUUUGUCCUUCAAUGUGUCUGUUGGUUCUCUAUCGGCAGUGGCCUUCUGAUGUAAAGGAAGACAGCGUUGCUGACAUGGUUUGCAAAGCGAAAGAGACAUUAUUGGUCUUCUCUUUUAACACCCCUCCCCCUUUCCUUGCCAAACACACCAAAAUGGCCACAAACAUACCAAAAUGACCCUGACUAUUAUUCAGGGCUUAAUACGGAGUAAGUUAUAGAACAGAAUAUCUUUUUGUCACUAUUGUCUGGUUUGUGGAAGUUAUAUAAUUCUUCUAGGUAUGCCUGUAUUGUUUCAAGAUCUCAAUCUAAAUACGUCAACACUCCUCAGGCGAGGGGACUUAAUUUGAUAGACAUAGCAGCAAUGAGAUAUAAUGAAGCCCAUCAUGAAGACACAGCAGCAAUGAAAUACUAUAAUGAAGCCCAUCACGAUGCAUGGGAUUGCACAUGUUUUCAAAGACUCAAAAUGGAUUUAGAACAUCAACCAUAGUAAAAAUAUCAAAGAUGAAUGCCUAAGCCUUUAUAUCUUCCUAUUUUUUUUAGUCUUUUCCCAUAAUGAUAAUUGUCAGAUAGUAAUUUGGACCAAGUAUGUGCUGUUCAAUGACUUAAUUUACUUAAUUGUAUUGUUUUCACUGGAUUACAUUCGUAUUUUACUACUUUCAAUUGUUAAAUUAUGUUUGAAUUUACUUUUGAAACUGUUGAUGGGAUCCAAGUUAUUCAAGCCCCAUACAAUGUAUUGAGUUGUGAGAAAGUAAUAGUUGUAUUUUUUGAUAUGAGAUGCAAUUUUUUGUAACAUUAAGAUAAAAUAUGAGUUAAAACUUUUAUUACUUGCACAUAUUAUGUAAAUAUCUAUAACAUAUGCCUUGCCGAUGAAGCCUGCACUUUGCCUCGCAUCGCCAUGUGUUUUGUGCUUAGGCUAUACCAGACCUUGGCGCCUCAUUGUGCCCUUUGUUCAAAAUAAUUCUGGUUAGUGAUUAUUUUCUUGAUUUGUAGCUUUGUUGUUUUUGUUAUCAGACCUUCAAAUCCGCACUUUCCUAGGUUCUAUAUCUGUUGCUGGGCUCAAGGAUCUUAUUCCCGUGCUUGUCUAUGAUCCUUACACCCUUAAUUUUUCUCUCUUUUUUCCUCAUGAAGUUCUGUUAUGUGUUUUUAUUUGCGGUAAUGCUUAUUAGUUAAUUCUGGCGUUACAUUUUGACUUUAGUAGUUUAGUUCUAUAUGUAUGGUUUGGUGCUUAUUAUCUCUUGGAAGCAGUGUGGGACUUUGUUAUUAGGAUAAAUCAUCUCAAAGGUCUAUAAUUUCCCUUUAUGAUGGAACAUCUAUGAAAUUAUGAGUGGCUUGUCUACUGCAAUCUUUGUUUAACGGCUGAAACUCUAAUACAACCCCCCAAGAAAUUUGUAUAUGCGACUUCCUUUUUCAUCUCUUGGAUUCUUGAAACAUGAAUCUAACCAGUUUAUAACAACGGGUUAUCAUUGCAAGUUUCCAUGCUCAGUGAAACCCUGACAGGCCACUCAGCCUCCUUGACAAUCAAAAGGCUUUCUCAAUUGUCAAAUGCUUCCAUGGUCAUAUCUCAUGUGUCUUCUGAUGGAGUUGAAAAAAGUACUCCCUUCGUCCCAAAUUGGAUGUCAAUUUUUGAUAUCCGUGUCAAUUUCAAUUCCUUAUAUCUUUCAAUAUGAAUCUCUAAAGGUAUGCAAUAUAGAUCUUGUUUGAUAGUUAUCGAUUAGUUCUAUUAUACCAAGUUUUCAAACUCAUGAAAAACAUUAUAGAUUGAAAGAUAUAAGCGAUGAAAAAUGACACGAGUUUCAAAAAUUGUCAUCCUUUUUGGGACGGAGGGAGUAAGUUUUUAACCAUCGGCGGCCAUAACGGGGAGGUGUAACAUGAGUUUGGUAUGUUUAGCAAUAUGUUGUAGAAUGUCUUGGCCAACAUAACUAUGUAAAUUAGUGAUAUGGAGUACAAUUGUCUUAUCAGAGGCUAGUUUAACGCAUGUAAUCCUUGGCUGGUUUGGCUGGAACCAGGUUUGACCAUGUUUUGUAAUAUUAUUGUCCUAAGUGUUAUCUUGUGGGGAUGACUCGUGUAUGUAACACAGGUGGAGAGGUUAGAUUCAAAUGACGUCUUGCCCUGCGUCAUACACACUCAAGACCUAUAUACCUAGACGUAGAUCAUUAUUUACUCACGGCAUUCUCCCAAAUUUGUGGUGUUGAUUUCAAGCAUACUGUUGUCAUAUUUCUUUGUUUACGUGAAUUAAAACAUUUGAAAAAAAAAAAUUGUUUCCUUGUCUCUUUUACAACUAAUUUGUUGUCUGGUGUUACAACCUUGUUUAUCUUUGCUUCAAAAAAAUUGUCCUAAUUAUUUUCCUGGUAAAUUUAUCAUCAUAUUUCCACCUAGGCUUCAAAAAAUGUUGGACUAUUGGUUAUUUUGGUGCCUUGUGUUGUGCUCCAUAUGCUAUAUGCCCUGCUCUUUGUUUGAUAUGUCUUCUGAUGGCAAACUAAAAGUGCUUGGGUUACUUCUUGUGAAUGCACAGUCAUCGAAACUCAAUAAUCAAGUGUGUGUUUUUUAUUCUUGUAAAGGCGGUGUCCAUACGUUUCUAACUAAUGUAUUUGCCAAAACUCUGAGAUCCUUAGUGGCCGCACCCAUGGAGUGUGAGUUUUCACUUUUUGAGUUAAGGAAAAGGUAUCGCCUUUCUCUUCUCAAGAACUUUUGUAAUUAUUUGCAUUGAGUUAAUCUUUGUUUAUAUUGGAGUUCCACGCAUUCUAGGAAGCUCCUGCAAUUAGAACAGGAUUGUUGAAGUGGUAGUUCCUAGAUAUAUUAUGCACCACGCCAUUUUAGGCUUGUUUCAUAUGGGAUAAGGGCUUGAAGUUUAGGAGCGGCAUUGACAGUUUACUUUUUUAAGCAAGAGUUUUACUAAUAUGUUAGUGGAGUCAUAGGAGUAUAGGACGUACUUUCUCUCUGCCAAUUUAGCUGAUUCUGUUGAACAUUCCAAAUUUGUCAUCUAUUAGGGCUAUGGAUCAGUGCUAUGGAACUGUGGAAACUGCUCCGCCUUUCAAUCAUAUAUUUCAUCAGGAAGAUGCCCCAAUGCUGGAAGUAUAGAGUGCAAUGAUAAGCAUGAAAAUAUGGAUCAGAUGGUUUUUGCGAAUCUCAGUGAAUCUCAUGCAGAGAAGGCGGGCGAAACUG